UACGGGGGGGGGCAAGCGUUGUUCGGAAUUACUGGGCGUAAAGGGCUCGUAGGUGGUCAACUAAGUCGGACGUGAAAUCCCUCGGCUUAACCGGGGAACUGCGUCCGAUACUGGAUGACUUGAGUUCGGGAGAGGGAUGCGGAAUUCCAGGUGUAGCGGUGAAAUGACGUAGAUAUCUGGAGGAACACCGGUGGCGAAGGCGGCAUCCUGGACCGACACUGACGCUGAGGAG
rnacentral:rRNA from 1 species